GUUGAUCCUGCCAGUAGUCAUAUGCUUGUCUCAAAGAUUAAGCCAUGCAUGUCUCAGUACAAGCCUAAUUAAGGUGAAACCGCGAAAGGCUCAUUAAAUCAGUUAUGGUUCCUUAGAUCGUACCCACAUUUACUUGGAUAACUGUGGUAAUUCUAGAGCUAAUACAUGCAAACAGAGCUCCGACCGGAGACGGAAGGAGCGCUUUUAUUAGAUCAAAACCAAUCGGCGGCGGGCUUGCUCGCCGUCGUACACCUUGGUGAAUCUGAAUAACUUUCUGCUGAUCGCAUGGUCUCGCACCGGCGACGCAUCUUUCAAAUGUCUGCCUUAUCAACUGUCGAUGGUAGGUUCUGCGCCUACCAUGGUUGUAACGGGUAACGGGGAAUCAGGGUUCGAUUCCGGAGAGGGAGCCUGAGAAACGGCUACCACAUCCAAGGAAGGCAGCAGGCGCGCAAAUUACCCACUCCCGGCACGGGGAGGUAGUGACGAAAAAUAACGAUACGGGACUCAUCCGAGGCCCCGUAAUCGGAAUGAGUACACUCUAAACCCUUUAACGAGGAUCAAUUGGAGGGCAAGUCUGGUGCCAGCAGCCGCGGUAAUUCCAGCUCCAAUAGCGUAUAUUAAAGUUG
rnacentral:rRNA from 1 species